CUGAGGACUAUUUCACAGGUAUAUCAUACAGCAUUUGGUCCUGUGGCUCCCAGGAGGGUACAACUCCUAGAAUCAGCUCCAGGGUGAACACAAGACAAUGUUUGCCAGGUCCACGUAGGGGGAAGAGGAAUUAGUCUAUUUAGAGGGGUUUUUCAAAAGCAUUUGUCCACCCACUUAACAUAGGCCCUGCUUUAUUUGCUGCUCCUCCACUUCCCUCAUGCCAGGGAUUAGUGCAGCCCCUGGCCACUUUGUCUCCAUUUGCAACCCUGUCAUCAGCCCGAGAUACAUGACCUUGUGACAUGUAAAAAAGCACACAAGGUCCCUGAUUAACUUCAGAGUAUUUUAUUUCUUUAGAGAAAAGAAAAACACUUCAAAAGAAUAACUCUUGAACAGAAUCAAAUCGCAGUCACUGGCAAGUGUUUAACAAAAUUACCAGGGAAGCGAAAGUGAAAUCCAUCGAUGUAAUGCUGUCUAUGCAGCAGCCAUAGCACGAACGUGACCCUGCAUCACAGCCGUGGUCCUGAGUGCUGUCUGGCAGGAGCCAACACGCAACGUUGCUGACACAGAGGAGAACAAUUCUUCUUUGAAAAGGUGUUUAAGAAUUCUGCCGUGGAGAACUUCAAACUUGAACUAUACAACUGCACUAGAAGAAAGCUGAAGGGAAGGCUUGGAGUACAAGCUCCCAUUUACCUGAUGAUAAAUACUGGAGCAUGAUCCUGCAGCCCCAUUUACAACAAAUUCUGUCUGACUGUAUUUGGCAUCGUAAGGCCUUUGGGGUCAAGAUGCUCAGUUUCUAGUUUUGCCUUUUGGGUCUCAGAAGUAUGGAAGCAUUUCAAACCUUGUGCUUCAAAAAGAAUUUAGGAAAUGCACAAGAGAGCCAACUUUUAAAUGAACUGGAAAGAUUUUAUGAGGACAGAAGAUCAACAAGUGACCAGGACUCCAACUGUGAAAGAAAAUCACCUAUCACUUCUAAAUCAUCACUCUUGCAAUCUGGCCAGGCAUUAAAGCCGAGGAAAGGGAAGGAAAUAUAUGGUGUGUGAAUUACUAUUGUACAAGACCCAGUAAUUUACAAAGGUUUGUAAGUGGGAGUUUUGUGAAUUCUAA
rnacentral:lncRNA from 1 species